UACGGGGGGGGCAAGCGUUGUUCGGAAUUACUGGGCGUAAAGCGCACGCAGGUGGCCGAGUCAGUCGAUUGUGAAAGCCCUGGGCUUAACCUGGGAAUUGCAGUCGAUACUACUCAGCUAGAGUAUGGGAGAGGGCAGUGGAAUUCCCGGUGUAGCGGUGAAAUGCGUAGAUAUCGGGAGGAACAUCAGUGGCGAAGGCGGCUGCCUGGCCCAAUACUGACACUCAGGUGCGACAGCGUGGGGAGCAAACAGG
rnacentral:rRNA from 1 species